rnacentral:rRNA from 1 species
ACUCAAAGGAAUUGACGGGGGCCCGCACAAGCGGUGGAGCAUGUGGUUUAAUUCGACGCAACGCGAAGAACCUUACCUGGGCUGGAAAACGCCGGAACCUUCCUGAAAGGGAGGGGUGCUCGCAAGAGAAUCGGUGUUCAGGUGCUGCAUGGCUGUCGUCAGCUCGUGUCGUGAGAUGUUGGGUUAAGUCCCGCAACGAGCGCAACCCUUAUCCUUAGUUGCCAUCAGGUUAAGCUGGGAACUCUAAGGAGACUGCCAGCGUCAAGCUGGAGGAAGGUGGGGACGACGUCAAGUCCUCAUGGCCCCUACGUCCAGGGCCACACACGUGCUACAAUGGUCGGUACAAAGCGUCGCCAACCCGCGAGGGGGAGCUAAUCGCAAAAAGCCGGCCUCAGUACAGAUUGCAGUCUGCAACUCGACUGCAUGAAGUUGGAAUCGCUAGUAAUCGUCAAUCAGCAGGUGACGGUGAAUACGUUCCCGGGCCUUGCACACACCGCCCGU